UACGUAGGGGGCAAGCGUUGUCCGGAAUCAUUGGGCGUAAAGCGCGCGUAGGCGGCUUUGUAAGUCAGAGGUGAAAUCCCGGAGCUCAACUCCGGAACUGCCUUUGAGACUGCAUCGCUUGAAUCCGGGAGAGGUGAGUGGAAUUCCGAGUGUAGAGGUGAAAUUCGUAGAUAUUCGCAAGAACACCAGUGGCGAAGGCGGCUCACUGGCCCGGUACUGACGCUGAGGAGCGAAAGCGUGGGGAGCGAACAGG
rnacentral:rRNA from 1 species